AGGGUGUAAACGCUGCAGACUUGGUGUUGGAAGUCCUUUGGGGGCAUUCAGUGCCGGAGAGAAGUUGUUAAGUCUGCUACUUGGGGAGUACGUCCGCAAAGAUGAAACUUAAAGGAAUUGGCGGGGGAGCACCGCAACGGGAGGAGCGUGCGGUUUAAUUGGAUUCAACACCGUAAAACUCACCAGGGAAGACUGUUACAUGAAGGCCGAGAUGAAGACUCUGCUAGAUUUUUCAGAGAGGAGGUGCAUGGCGUCAGUGACU
rnacentral:rRNA from 1 species